rnacentral:lncRNA from 1 species
UUGCCAAUGAGACAACUGUCCACAAGAGACCAAAAUGACACAGACAUUAACAACUAUAGGUCACCGUACGACCUUCAACAAUGAGCAAAGCCAAUACCGCAUAGUCAGCUAUAAAAGGCCACGAUAAGACAAUGUAAAACAAUUCAAACGAGAAAACUAACGGCCUUAUUUAUAUAAAAAAAUGAACGAAAAACAAACAUGCAAAACAUAAAUAAACGAC